UAUCUCCUGCGCGGUGCGUGAUAUCGUGAUAUUUGGACCUACACACUUUGCCGGGGAGCUCGGGCUUCUGUUAUUGGGAUGCAGGCCUCCCGUCGAGAGCUGUCAUUGACCCUCUCCAAACGGACGUUGGAAGCGCAAAGUAACAGAGAGAGCACCCACCUGUAUAUACAGGGUUAAAAAUUGCCUUACACGGCCCCGCGGGUUUCUA
rnacentral:other from 1 species